rnacentral:rRNA from 1 species
CCGACUGCUAUUUGGGUGAGAAUAAGCCAUGCGAGUUGAAUGGGAUACCUAAAUUUCCCAUAGCAAACUGCUCAGUAACACAUGGUCAACUUACCCUAUAGAGAAAAAUAACCUCGGGAAACUGAGGAUAAUGUUUCAUAAUUGAAUUGGCUUGGAAAAGUUUUUCAAUGAAAAGGAUAAAAAAAAUGGUUUUUAUCUGCUAUAGGAUAGGAUCGUGCUCGAUUAUGGUUGUUGGUGAGAUAAUGGCUCACCAAGCCGAUAAUCGAUAGGGGCCGUGAGAGCGGGAGCCCCGAGAUGGGUACUGAGACAACGACCCAGGCCUUACGAGGCGCAGCAGGCGCGAAACCUCCGCAAUACACGAAAGUGUGACGGGGUUACCCAAAGUGUUCAAUUUGAACUGUGGUAGGUGAGUAAUGUCCCCUACUAGAAAGGAGAGGGCAAGGCUGGUGCCAGCCGCCGCGGUAAGACCAGCUCUUCAAGUGGUCGGGAUAAUUAUUGGGCUUAAAGUGUCCGUAGCCGGUUUAGUAAGUUCCUGGUAAAAUCGGGUAGCUUAACUAUCUGCAUGCUAGGAAUACUGCUAUACUAGAGGGCGGGAGAGGUCUGAGGUACUACAGGGGUAGGGGGGAAAUCUUAUAAUCCUUGUAGGACCACCAGUGGCGAAGGCGUCAGACUGGAACGCGCCUGACGGUGAGGGACGAAAGCCAGGGGAGCGAACCGGAUUAGAUACCCGGGUAGUCCUGGCCGUAAACGAUGCAUACUAGGUGAUGGUACGGCCAUGAGCCGUAUCAGUGCCGUAGGGAAACCGUUAAGUGUGCCGCCUGGGAAGUACGGUCGCAAGGCUAAAACUUAAAGGAAUU